GAAACAGACAGAAUUCAGGGUGUCCUCCAUGAAUUUGCAAAUUCUUCUUUUGCAUGUGUUUAUACUUUCAUGGUCCCUGAGAAGGAGAUUUUACCUUUGGGAAGGACUACUUCCAUGUAGCAGGGCCCUGAGGAGUCGAGAAGGAAAGCACAAGGGAAGCAGAUGGCUGGCUGAAAUGCUUGUGAAAAGAAAACUAAUUACAGAAGAUGAAUACUGACUUCCUUUGGGUAUUCAGUGGCAACAACGUCAAUGUUAAAGUGAGAAGUACUGGAGAGGACGGAGACAUAAAGAGGAAAUAAAGGAGAAAAGAGAAUGGAGAAGAAUUGUGAG
rnacentral:lncRNA from 1 species